UACGGAGGGUGCUAGCGUUGUUCGGAAUUACUGGGCGUAAAGGGCGCGUAGGCGGCGUUUGCGUCGGAUGUGAAAGCCCGGGGCUCCAACCGUCGGAACGGCAUUCGAUACGGGACGGCUGGAGACCGGGAGAGGAGAGUGGAAUAGCCAGUGUAGAGGUGAAAUUCGUAGAUAUUGGCUGGAACACCGGUGGCGAAAGCGGCUCUCUGGCCCGGUUCUGACGCUGAGGCGCGAAAAGCGUGGGGGAGCAAACGGG
rnacentral:rRNA from 1 species